rnacentral:rRNA from 1 species
GACGAACGCUGGCGGCGUGCUUAACACAUGCAAGUCGAACGGAAAGGCCCCUUUGGGGGUACUCUAGUGGCGAACGGGUGAGUAACACGUGAGUAACCUGCCCUUGACUUCGGGAUAACUUCAGGAAACUGGGGCUAAUACCGGAUAGGAAUCCUUUCUGCAUGGUGGGGGUUGGAAAGCGUCGGCGGUUUUUGCUGGACUCGCUGGUUAACAGCUUGUUGGUGGGGUAGUGGAUUACCAAGGCUUUGACGGGUAGCCGGCCUGAGAGGGCGACCGGCCACACUGGGACUGAGAUACGGCCCCGACACCUAAGCGGGGCCGAAGGGCGGAAUCUUGACCAAUGGGCGGCAGCCUGAUGCAGCAACGCCGCGUGCGGGAUGACGGCCUUCGGGUUGUAAACCGCUUUCAGCAGGGGCGAAGCUUGUGGUGACGGUACCUGCAGAAGAAGCACCGGCUAACUACGUG